AACGAACGCUGGCGGCAUGCCUAACACAUGCAAGUCGAACGAGACCUUCGGGUCUAGUGGCGCACGGGUGCGUAACGCGUGGGAACCUGCCCUUAGGUUCGGAAUAACUCCCCGAAAGGGGUGCUAAUACCGGAUAAUGUCUUCGGACCAAAGAUUUAUCGCCUUUGGAUGGGCCCGCGUUGGAUUAGCUAGUUGGUAGGGUAAAAGCCUACCAAGGCGACGAUCCAUAGCUGGUCUGAGAGGAUGAUCAGCCGCACUGGGACUGAGACACGGCCCAGACUCCUACGGGGGGCAGCAGUGGGGAAUAUUAGACAAUGGGCGAAAGCCUGAUCCAGCAAUGCCGCGUGAGUGAUGAAGGCCUUAGGGUUGUAAAGCUCUUUUACCCGGGAUGAUAAUGACAGUACCGGGAGAAUAAGCUCCGGCUAACUCCGUG
rnacentral:rRNA from 1 species